rnacentral:rRNA from 1 species
CCUACGGGUGGCAGCAGUGAGGAAUAUUGGUCAAUGGGCGCGAGCCUGAACCAGCCAAGUAGCGUGAAGGAUGACUGCCCUACGGGUUGUAAACUUCUUGUAUAAAGGAAUAAAGUGAGGCACGUGUGCCUUUGUGGAUGUACUUUAUGAAUAAGGAGCGGCUAACUCCGUGCCAGCAGCCGCGGUAAGACGGAGGAUCCGAGCGUUAUCCGGAUUUAGUGGGUUUAAAGGGAGCGUAGAUGGGUUGUUAAGUCAGUUGUGCAAGUUUGCGGCUCAACCGUAAAAUUGCAAUUGAUACUGGCAGCCUUGCGUACAGUUGAGGUAGGCGGAAUUCGUGGUGUCGC